GGAAUGACGGGGAGCACCACAACGGGUGGAGCUUGCGGUUUAAUUGGAUUCAACGCCGGAAAUCUUACCGGGACCGACAGCAAUAUGAAGGCCAGGCUGAAGACUUUGCCGGAUUAGCUGAGAGGCGGUGCAUGGCCGUCGUCAGUUCGUACUGUGAAGCAUCCUGUUAAGUCAGGCAACGAGCGAGACCCACGCCCACAGUUGCCAGCGUACUCUCUGGAGUGACGGGUACACUGUGGGGACCGCCGCUGCUAAAGCGGAGGAAGGAAUGGGCAACGGUAGGUCAGUAUGCCCCGAAUAUCCCGGGCUACACGCGAGCUACAAUGGUUGGUACAAUGGGUAUCUACCCCGAAAGGGGACGGGAAUCUCCUAAAACCAAUCUUAGUUCGGAUUGAGGGCUGCAACUCGCCCUCAUGAAGCUGGAAUCCGUAGUAAUCGCGUUUCAACAGAACGCGGUGAAUACGUCCCUGCUCCUU
rnacentral:rRNA from 1 species